UGGGGAAUAUUGCACAAUGGGCGCAAGCCUGAUGCAGCCAUGCCGCGUGUGUGAAGAAGGCCUUCGGGUUGUAAAGCACUUUCAGCGAGGAGGAAGGCGAUAAGGUUAAUAACCUUGUCGAUUGACGUUACCCGCAGAAGAAGCACCGGCUAACUCCGUGCCAGCAGCCGCGGUAAUACGGAGGGUGCAAGCGUUAAUCGGAAUUACUGGGCGUAAAGCGCACGCAGGCGGUCUGUCAAGUCGGAUGUGAAAUCCCCGGGCUCAACCUGGGAACUGCAUUCGAAACUGGCAGGCUAGAGUCUUGUAGAGGGGGGUAGAAUUCCAGGUGUAGCGGUGAAAUGCGUAGAGAUCUGGAGGAAUACCGGUGGCGAAGGCGGCCCCCUGGACAAAGACUGACGCUCAGGUGCGAAAGCGUGGGGAGCAAACA
rnacentral:rRNA from 1 species